AAAGGAGAAGUUUUAUAAUGUUUCACUUACAAUGAAAAGAUCUCGCUAUGAGCUCCUUUACGAUUACUUUUUCUAUUAAGUCUUGUAAAUAACAAAGGAAACUGGAUCUAUCGAAACUAAUAGCAUAUUACCUUUUGCAUAAUGGUUAGACAAAUAAAAGGAAGGUUCCAAUACCCGAAGGUGGUAGAUCUAUCUAUUAUUUUAUGUUAGAAUAUAUGCCUUCUGUAGCAAUAGAAGGGGAAAAAAAAUAGAUAGGGUUGAAAGGACUACAAUACCUCCGAUAUCUGGAUAUUUGCGAAAAGCGUUUAGCGCUAAGAUAGCCCGGUAGUGUUGAGAUUGCCGGGAGAAAAAAUUUAGCUUCGUAAACACAUCGUCUGAGUUAAAACCUCUACGAUUGUCUUUUCUAAAAACUUCUUAGCAAUAAAUUUUUAACAUAGCAAUUCAAAUCUUUUAACAAAUAAAGUCUAUGAUAAUGUUUAAAUUAGUACUUAUUUUAAAUCUAUAGAAGGAACUCGGCAAACUUUGGCUGCGACUGUUUAACAAAAACAUAGUCUAUGGUCUGUCUCAUAGAUACAUUCUGCCCCCUGUAUAGUAUAAAGGGCCGCAGAACUUUAACUGUGCUAAGGUAGCGUAAUAGUUUGUCUUUUAAAUGAAGACUGUAUGAAUGGCAACACGUGGCUCUACUGUCUCCUGUGGAUUUUUUGGAAGUUGGUUAAUGGGUGAAAAUACCCAUAAAUAGAAAAAGGACGAGAAGACCCUGAGAGCUUUUACGAGAAGUCGAAAAGGCUCCUGUUUUUGUUGGGGCAACAGAGGAACAAAUAACCUCCUUUGCUUAACCUGCCCCCUGUGGGUUUAAGAAUAAGCUACCUCAGGGAUAACAGCAUAAUUUUUUUUAAAGCUUGUGACCUCGAUGUUGGACUAGGGAAACAAAGGUUCAGAAGAUCUUUGUGUGCGCUCUGUUCGAGCUUUCCCCCUACGUGAUCUGAGUUCA
rnacentral:rRNA from 1 species